UGAGACUCAAGAGGGCAAAGCAAAAGAUGUACGUCUUAAAGGGACUCAUUUCUUGGAAGAAGUUUAGACAGCUUACUUCUGGAAAGCACAGUUCUUCCACAUCCACCCUUUAUGUUUUGCUUUCUUUCCAUUCAUUCAUUCUCAUCAGAAAUCACCAAACUCAGUUAGGCAUUAUGGAAAGAAAGACAAGAACCCAACCGGGGUGGAAGACUUCAAGAGUGAUCAGAGAAGGCUGUAUGGAACAGGUGAAGAUGAAGCGAUUCUCCAAGAUAAGGAGCAUGUCGGGAGAAAAAAGACAGCCACUCAAAUAGACUGCUCAGAAUCUACUCUGCCUCCGCAAAGCCAUGUCCUUUUUCCUCUUCAAUUUACCAUCUGAAACAUACCAAAGAUAACCUGAAGCAUGAGCCAAUUUAAAUCCCAUAUGAAUUGUGCCUGGCAUUUGUACUUUGCCUUGAGAUUCAAAAAGAGCUUUUUCUGAUGAACUCUCUUAGAGAUUGAAGAAAACAGAAACAAGACGUGCCAAACUGGGCAGCCUGCAGAGCCCCUCUCUGAUGCAAGACCGUGGAUGCUGUUUCCGGCUCGGUCCUGCCUGGACAGGAUUUGCUGGUGGCAAAUAAUUUCCUCUUCCUGAGCCCCGCACAAAACAUUUUAAGGAUCGAACUCCCGAUUCAACAGGUUUCUUGACAUCUAAUCACAGCCGCCUGGUUGUAUUGCUGACAGUCUAUUAACAUUCCAAAUCAGCUUAUUAGGUCUUUAUGUAUUUCUUCAGUGAAUAAAAACAAGAAUUCUAGCAGAAGUUUCUUUUUAAAUCAUAACCUGGAAACCAUCAAAGCAAUAAGGUACAAAAACCUAAAGGAUUCAUCAUCAAGUUGCUGUCAAAGGAAAAGAAAACAAAAAUUGUGGAGGUCGUUUGACAUAGCAACCACGGCUCCCCUAAUAAAAAAUAAAAUACCAUGCAUGCAGAUGCUGACCAAGACAAAGGAAAGAAAUAGUGUCUAUUAAAGAUUUUUCAGCUAAGUGGCCAUUUUCAUUUAACAAUCCUUAGCAUCAUGAUAAAAUUAAAUAAAUUUAAGUUUUCACAUCUGUAUGUACCUGUUUCCACAAAACACUUGAAAUAGUUUAAAACAAGAUAGUAUGGUAAGAGGAUCUGUCAAGAGAAAUAAUUUCUCCAGAAGGAAUUAAAGUUGCAAAAUAAAAAUUUCUCCCUAACAAUAUUGUGGAGGGUCUAUGCUCUGCUUGGAAACAUGUUGUCAACAGAAGGAUAUCUCCAAAGAACUGGACAUAGAGCACAGACCCCAGGGAAUGUUGGCGAGGGCUCCUAUGACUCCCUGCAGGAGCCGGUCACUUCUGCGGUCCAUCGGGAGAAUUGGAGCCCUACAGAUGGUGAAAGAACACUGCCUGCUUAACAGUACCUGCAUCAACUCUCCUGGACUAAGAACCCUCGCCCCCUUUUUCAAGACCAAGCCAGCCUCUGGAGUUCCUGAACAAUGCAAAGAGUCAAGCCAUAAUAAGACUAAUGUAAUAUUCUUCUGCUAACCCUGGAGAUGGAAGAAUACCAAUUUGUUCUUACCUGUUUUUUAAAAAAGUGAAAAGUAUAAUAUUUUUUACACAAUAUUGUGAUUGAUAUCUGUUUCAAUAGUAAAAUAUAAACGGACCUAGGAAAUUCAACCCAAAUAAAAAGUAGACAUAAAUAUGCCAACUCUAGUGGUCAAUAUGGCUAUCUUCGGCUCUGUGCUAUUUUGAAAUGAUCAGUCUGUUUUGAAGAGCAAGUAGGAUUUCUUUUAAAAAGAGAAGUUCCAAAGCAGGUUUAUUACUAUGACUUAACUUGAGCUUUCUGAAGAAAACAGAAAUGGUUUUUGAAAAAUAUUGAAUGU
rnacentral:lncRNA from 1 species